AUGCAAUUAAGUCAUCGUUUCGCCUUCAUUUUUUGAAAUGAAAAUGGGUGAAAUAAUAUUUUUGAAAAAUAAAUGGUUAAAAAAGAAGGUAAAAUUUUCGAUUUACAUGUAAUAAUAUUUUUUGGAAGAUUGUGUAAUUGAAAAUAAAAGAGAGAAAAAUGAAAUAUAAUUUAAUGGGAGCCAAAUAGAAGCUAAAUUGUGGAUGCUAAUAACAAAAGUUAUUACCUUGUGCUUUUAUCAACUCCAAUUAUUGUUCAUUAAAAUGCCAAUUCUAGCCCCAUGAAUAAAAUCAUUUCAUUUUCAAUCCUAAAUCUUUGGUAUUCUAUGUUGAACUUUACUACAUAUACACUAUAGUAUACACUUUGAUUUACACUUUAUCCUAUUGGACAGUUUAAAUUUCAAACAGUUUUUUCUUCCAAUUGACACUUGACAACAAUGUAAGUGUCAACUAAAGUAUUAAAAAUCAGUGUACAAAUAGCAAAGUUUUUUUACGUUUAUUGGUAUUUAAAAUUAUAAAGCACCGCUCAUCAUUCAAGUUAUAAACAUUUUUGCGUUUUCUAUUUUUCCCUGGUCAUUACAUCAAAUUUCCAUUUUUUAAAAUUUACAAAUAUUGAGAUUAAAUAGAUAUUGAUUUUUCCCAUUUCAAUAAUUAUGGUGAAUAUCUCAAAGUAAAAAUAAAUUUUAUAAUAAUAAUACUUAAAGAUACUGAUGCUACCAAAAGUGGCAUCUGGCGGAUCCCGAGGAUGACGACUGAAGAUGAUACGAACAAAGCCUUCCAAAUACCUGAAACAAAGGCAACGAUGUGUGUGCUCGCCGCCCCUCCGAUGCUUAAGUCAGAAAAGGGAUGCCAAGAUGAAUAUAUGCUGAAAAAUUG
rnacentral:lncRNA from 1 species